AACGCAUAUGGCACCUUUUGGUUCUUACUAAAAGGUAUGCCUGUUUGAGAAUCAUUUCCACACUAUUCCCCAUUCCAUUCUUUGUUCAUCAAGGAAGGGAAAAGGGGGGACACAUGGACCUUCAUCAUUGAUCGUCUUGAAUUCAUGCACGGGGUUGUUCGUGAUAGAUGAUUGAAUCCCUGGAUUCUAUUGUGAUCGAUCAAUCCCCAUCAUUUAUACAUACAAUGAUCUCAAAUCAGGCAAGACUACCCGCUGAACUUAA
rnacentral:misc_RNA from 1 species